rnacentral:sRNA from 1 species
AUUGGAAGCAGAGCUGCGAGUUAGGAAGCGGCUCGCUGGCAGCUGGGCACGUUUCUUUCCUGCGAGGUCGGCUUUUUUGAUUUGCUCUUUUUCACGUGAAAAUGUUCAGCUUCAUUUUUAGACACCUUUAGACUUGGUUAUCACUAUUUAAAGCCUUGAUUUUUUUAAAACAAAUAGUUUCCAUUUUAUUCAUUGAAACAGGGAGAGAACAAAUACCAUCUUGCUUUUUGGGCUGGCUUCCUAUUUCAAGGAGAGACGCCAAGGUAAUUUUGACCCAGAGGAGGAAUGAUGUAGCCACCUCCUAACCUUCCCUUCUUGAACCCCCAGAGACGGGGUUUCACCAUAUUGACCAGGCUGGUCUCGAACUCCAGAGCUCAGGUGAUCCACCCGCCUCAGCCUCCCAAAGCACUGGGAUUACAGGCGUGAGCCACCAUUGCUGGCCUGUUGUUGUAUAUUUGUAAUGCUGAUCACAAAGGU